GACGAACGCUGGCGGCGUGCUUAACACAUGCAAGUCGAGCGGUAAAGGCCCUUCGGGUACACGAGCGGCGAACGGGUGAGUAACACGUGGGUGACCUGCCUCUAGCUCUGGGGAUAAGCCUGGGGAAACUGGGUCUAAUACCGGAUAUGACUCCACGGCGCAUGUUGUGGGGUGGAAAGCCUUGUGUGGCUAGAGAUGGGCCCGCGGCCUAUCAGCUUGUUGGUGGGGGAUGGCCUACCAAGGCGACGACGGGUAGCCGGCCUGAGAGGGCGACCGGCCACACUGGGACUGAGACACGGCCCAGACUCCUACGGGAGGGCAGCAGUGGGGAAUCUUGGCGCAAUGGGCGAAAGCCUGACGCAGCGACGCCGCGUGAGGGAUGACGGCCUGG
rnacentral:rRNA from 1 species